rnacentral:rRNA from 1 species
AUUGAACGCUGGCGGCAUGCCUUACACAUGCAAGUCGAACGGCAGCACGGGAGCAAUCCUGGUGGCGAGUGGCGAACGGGUGAGUAAUAUAUCGGAACGUGCCCAGUCGUGGGGAUAACGUAGCGAAAGCUACGCUAAUACCGCAUACGAUCUAUGGAUGAAAGCGGGGGAUCGCAAGACCUCGCGCGAUUGGAGCGGCCGAUAUCAGAUUAGGUAGUUGGUGAGGUAAAGGCUCACCAAGCCGACGAUCUGUAGCUGGUCUGAGAGGACGACCAGCUACACUGGGACUGAGACACGGCCCAGACUCCUACGGGAGGCAGCAGUGGGGAAUAUUGGACAAUGGGCGAAAGCCUGAUCCAGCAAUGCCGCGUGAGUGAUGAAGGCCUCGGUU